UGCUGUAAAAAACGGCUUUGUAACACAGGCCACUUUUCUCUUGUAUUUGAAUGAGAUUUGCCAAUCUUUUUAGCCCCUCCCUUAUAUAUCCCAAUGCAAAUCUAGAGUUUUUAGAGGGUAUAGGCCUACUUCUGUCCUCCCACUGAAUUAUUGGUUAGUGUGUAUCAGUACACAUCUUCAGUCUCAAGAUGAUGGACAAACUGUGUGUUCUGCUGACAGUGCUCUGUCUGCCCAGUUUAAAUGGCCAGGCUAUGGAGUCCAUUCCCUCCAUUUCAGUGUUGAAAACACCUGAGGAGGCCCUCAGUCUUUCCUGCAGGGGAACUGGAUUUGAUUUCGGCAGAAGUGGAAUGCACUGGAUCAGACAACCUGCAGGAAAAACACUGGAAUGGAUGGGGCUUAUUUACUAUGAUGCCAGUAAAACACAGUAUGCCAGCAGUGUGCAAGGACGAGUAGAAAUCACCAGAGAUAAUAGCAACAGCAUGGUGUAUCUGAGACUGUCCAACCUAAAACUAGAGGACUCGGCUGUGUAUUACUGCGCUAGAGUCGCACCCUGUUUAUUGUAAGCAGAGAGGCUUUACAAAAACCUCAAACAACCUAUUUUACAACACAUGUUGAGACAAACCAGUAUGGCAUCAUACCUACACAUGCAGAGAAAAAACACAAUGUGAAAGCACCAGCUGUGGUUGUGGUUUGUGACUUCCUCUUUUUUAUGGUUUCUACCAACAUGUGCUUUUCUACAAUAAUGUACUGGUUAUUAAUAUUCCUAUCUGUUAUUUUGUAAGG